rnacentral:miRNA from 1 species
GCUAGUUUGCCUUCCUCUCUCUCUCUCUCUCUCUCUCUCUCUCUCUCUCUCUCUAUAUAUAUAUAUAUAUAUAUAUAUAUAUAUAUAUAUAUAUAUAUAUAAGAGAGAGAGAGAGAGAGAUGAUGGCUGUCUUAUAGG